UGAGCAAUCUGCCCUUCUCAUCGGAAUAAGCGUUGGAAACGACGUCUAAUGCCGAAUACAACCUCCUUUCGCAUGAUCGGAGGUGGAAAGCUCCGGGCGGAGAAGGAUGAGCUCGCGGCCUAUCAGCUAGUUGGUGAGGUAAUGGCUCACCAAGGCUUCGAUCGGUAGCCGGCUGAGAGGGCACACGGCCACACUGGCACUAGAAACCGCGGGCCAGAUCCGUAACGGGG
rnacentral:rRNA from 1 species